rnacentral:lncRNA from 1 species
GGGAGGGGUCAUUUUUUGCCACCCAGAAUCCAUUCCUCCUUCUUUUGGUAAAACACCCUACUUUCCUUUUCAAGAACUGCCUCUUGAGCCAGUCCUGAUGGCCUAGUGGUUAAAGUUUGGUGCUUUCAUUGCUUCAGCAGCCAGGGUUUGGUUCCUGGUUGGGGAACCACACCACCUGUCUGUCAGUAGCCACGCUAUGGUGGUGGCUCACACAGGAGAACUAGAAGCACUUACGACUACAAUAUACAACUAUGUACUGGGGCUUUGGGGAGGGGAAAAAAAAAAGGAAUUGCCUCUUUCCCACAUGUAGGGCUGUCAGUCAGGUGCCUGGCCAUAUUGGGAGAAGGUGCAAUCAUGUGACCCAGUUUGGGCCAGACUCUUUCCUGGAAUUUCACUCUUGAGCAGAGCAAAGGAAAGAGCCAAAAGACAGUGGGAGCCCCCACUCCAGCUGCAAAGGCCUGAGCAGAGAACUCCUGUGGUGGAGCACUGCCCUGGGCCUGUCUUAUUCUGAGCCUUGUUUCCAGCCUUCCUUUGGAUUCUGGGAGCCACACAAUAUCCUUCCAACAAAUUCCCUUCCUCCUUAAGUCAGCCAGAGUGAGCUUCUAUUAAGAAACCCAGCACUCAGGAAUGAAGCAUUAGUCACACCUGGGUUACCCAGGAAGUGGGGCGGGCACUGGAUCCUAAUUCUCAGAGGCCAUCAAGAGCAGGCUGCUUUCUGAGAGGGUUCCUGGGUGCCCUGUGCUCCAGAGAAACCGGGACUUCAGCCAGCCCUGCACCAGCCUCUGGCGACCCGACCCGGAUAAAGGAACAGACUCAAGAGGUAACAUGGUUUGCCCAAAGUCACACAGUGGAGUGCAGAGAUGGGGCUCAAACUCACCUUCGUUACCUCCAAAGCUGGAGCUAUGGAUGACGGUUGAGCGCCCUGGGGGAAUUUCUGAGUCCCAACUAACAGCCAGGACGGCGGGGCAGCAGUCUUCAGUUGGUGCUGCCACCUAGGGACAAGACAGAGAACUGUGACCCAAACCUUCCCCUCCUUCCUUCCCUCCCCAGGCUCCAACCCCGCCCCCGGCUUGAGAGGCCCGCAGGGCUGAGCGCUCCCUCUGGCAGCCAACCACUGGGCGUUUUGGCGGAGGCCGCCUGGGUGCAGAGAGCUGAGCUCUAGAGUGAGCAGGUGCCUCCUCAGGCCUCCUCACUGUCUCCCAGCGCGCGGCUCUGAAGAAACAGUUGUUGAGUAAAUGACCAGGGAUGCAAAUCUCCACAGGCCUGGGACCCCGCUGGUCUCCACAGACAACCUGUGGAGACACUCCACUGUGAGGGUCAGGGAUGAGCACGUCCCGGCCUGGGCCAGCCUCUGCCUCAGUGGGGGUCCUGCACGAUCCCUUCCACGGAGCACAGACUGGCGCCCUGUGCCGUGUUAAGCAGCUUGUCUUGCAUUAUCUAAUUUCAUCCGAGACCCAAAGAGCUCAUCGUGGCCUGCCCGAGUUCUCAGCAGGGACUCGAACCCGGAUCCUCAGACUCCAAGGGCAGGGUUCUGCUUCAUCACUCUGCCCUGCCACCCC